ACUCCUUUCUUGGCAUACAUGUUGUCUUCCUAUACAUAUGUGUGUAUGUGAUGGAGGGAAAUAAAAGUCCAGUGCUAUGUCUUCGGUGCCAGAAAGUCAACCAUUUUCUGAUUCUAUCCUCAAACACUGGCACAAUC
rnacentral:snoRNA from 1 species